CUGUGAAUACACCCCCAACUCCACCAGCGCAGGUGACGCCAGCCCCCGGGGCCCCCCUUCGCCCUGCCCCAGCUCCAGCCAUGGGAAGACCCUGCUGCACAGUGUGAAACCCCCGGGUUUUCUGGCGUCUCCCCAGAAGAAGGCCUCCAGCUCCC